GCUCUUGCUCCCGCUUUGAUCUCAUCACUGAAGUCCUGUGGAAGUAGCAGUGGGAGGGACAGCUGAGAAGGACUGGAGUGGGAAAUGCCAUGUGUAGGAAAAGAGCGGGUGGCAGGACCCCACCUGUAUUUCACAAACGCGAAGCUGAGGAGUUGAGAGCAGAAGCUGAUGAGAAGUCACCAAGUUCAAGUGCCCAGACUGCAGAGGGACUUCACGUCCCACAGCGCCCAGCGAGUGGACGUGUGGUGACACCGGCCUGUCCCUGCUCUCGCCCACUGCGUGGCACAUGUCCCAGAUGCACUGCCACAGGCUCAAGGAAAGUAUCAGCUAAUGCAGCAGCACAGUGAACUUAAAGAAAAAUAAAUUGCCAAAUAGAUGGUGCAAACCACAGAACAAGCCAGUUCGAUCAUUGGAGCGAAGGGCACUUCCUCCUGUCUGAUCCUCCUCGUGCAUCUUCCUGGAGAAGAAAAGGCAACUGUGGGCUGAGGAAACAGUGCCACUGCCUGAAAUCUCAUCUAUUUGGAUGCAUUCCACAAGAACAAAACAGCAAUGGAAGGUUUUUGGUAUUUUUUUUUUAUCAUUAGUAAGAGCACAGUCCUGGACAGACGUAAGGAGAAAUAAGAGUCCCCCAUUAGAAGACUUGAUGGAACCCCUGAAAGAUUAUAUUAAGCUGUUUUCAAGGGCUUAUGUCUUAUUUUAGCAAGUCACAAUGCACGUGCCCAGCUGUCCCCUACUCAUGCAACGUAAGGUGGGUCAGAUUACUUCAUGUGCCAAAAUGGGAGGGACCUACUUGCUACAAAAAAUAUUUGGGGAUGUAGUUACCCGGAGCACAGUCACAAGCUUUCUGUGGGGUAGUUCUUUAGUUUCUGGAACACUCAAAUGCUAUGGUUAGAUUUGACUUUUGUUAUUAUGCUCUUGCCUUUAGAGUAGGCCUUGGACACCUGUGUUGUACAUCCAUUCCUCUCCUUCCAGGAUAUUUGGGAUUUGAACUUUUACUGCAAGAUUUGUUGUAGGAAAUGAGUGGUAAGAAAGAGUGGGUUAUAAGAAAUGAGUGCUUUCCGCUGAUGCAGCUGGAAGCUACGUGCCUCUGAGGAUGUUACUGCAUGCCCUGUGUUUCCAGCUAUCCAGGCUUCCUUUGAUGAAGUGACGUCCAGAAAUUGUGGGGCCUGAGGCUGCAGAAAGAUUCACAGUGAAUUCAAAAUGUGAACACGACCGCAGCUCUGCAGCCUGGGAAAUUCUCUAAGAUCCUUCCCCAGGCAGGUGACAUUGCUGUGAGGCUGGAAGUGGAUGAGUGUGAAACCAAUGCAAUAAUUGUAGCCUUGCUGCUGGCAGUGUUAGUUUUCCUUCCUGGCAAGGACAAAGGAAGAAGGUCGGCUCGGUCAGCUCCGCCGGGCUCUGUGGUGGGAGGAAGUUCGGAAGGGGGCUUAGCAGCUUUGUCUGUAGCACGCUGACGUUCUGGACGGGAGAGGGAUGGAAGACAUCAACACCUAAUUGUGGCCUCCGAGCAAAUUUUUGCAUUUAAAAUCCUUUCCUAGCUGGAAAAUUCUCUGAGCCAUUGACUAAUUAGAUUGUAUUAAUUUACAGAAACGUUAGGCCUUGUUUUUUGAGCCAGACACUGACAUGCUGCCAUCAAAAUGUUCUCACCUCCACCGCCGGCUUUGCUUCUGUCAAUGUUAAGGGUGGCAUAAGUUUAGAGUACCUGCGGACAGGAGCAUGGGGAAGGCCCUAAAGAACGCAUGUCUCUCUCAGGAAGGCCUGACAGAACUGGGAAUUAAACUCUGGGCUUAAUUUUGUAGCUUUUCUGGUCUUGGUCUGACCCUUGGUUUUGUCACUUACAUUUUUUGUCCCCACUAUUACAGUACAUUUCUUGAUAAAGACCAUUCGGGAUAUAAAGAUCUCUUAAAAACCAUGUAGGCGAUGUUCAGGAAAUUUCUAUAUGGUGUUUUCCAGGUUGUCUUAUGAUAUUGUAAACACAGUGGGAAAACACUGGUUCAUUCUGUGGCAUUCUUCUUGCACAUUGCGCAGGCAAUUUGAAGACUGAAUACGAUACAGGGAGUGUAUGUAUGUUCACAUGUGUAUAAAUGCUCUUAUGUACAUGUUAAAUAGAUUAAAUUGAUUAGUAACAGAGUGGCAAGAUUCUCUUUAUUUUUCAAGACCUAUU